rnacentral:rRNA from 1 species
UACGUAGGGUGCAAGCGUUGUCCGGAAUCAUUGGGCGUAAAGAGCGUGUAGGCGGCCCGAUAAGUCCGCCGUGAAAGUCCAGGGCUCAACCCUGGAAUGCCGGUGGAAACUGUCGGGCUGGAGUCCGGAAGAGGCGAGUGGAAUUCCUGGUGUAGCGGUGAAAUGCGCAGAUAUCAGGAGGAACACCAAUGGCGAAGGCAGCUCGCUGGGACGGUACUGACGCUGAGACGCGAAAGCGUGGGGAGCGAACAGG